rnacentral:rRNA from 1 species
GUCCACGCCCUAAACGAUGGAUACUCGACAUACGCGAUACACAGUGUGUGUCUGAGCGAAAGCAUUAAGUAUCCCACCUGGGAAGUACGAUCGCAAGAUUGAAACUCAAAGGAAUUGCGGGUGUCCGCACAAGCGGUGGAGCAUGUGGUUUAAUUCGAUGAUACGCGAGGAACCUUACCUGGGCUAGAAUGUCCCGCGACCGGUGGUGAAAGCUGCCUUUAUAGCAAUAUACGCGGGAUAAGGUGCUGCAUGGCUGUCGU